GGUCACUAUAAUAUUAUCUAAUGACUAAAACUGUGAUGUUGACAAUAUUAUCAAGUUAUAUUUUGGAUUCUUUGAGUAAAAAUGAAACUAUCUAAAUUUAUACUUUCAUCUUAUAAAAAUGUUCGUAAUUAGGCGUACGGAUGUUCGUUUUAUGUUAAGUUUGUACAGUAGUUUUAAUGUUCGUACUAAAACGAACAUGUUCGUACGCCUGGUAACACUGCCUACAAACAACCAACAAUAAAAAUUACAGAAAUUCUAUGAAUAAAAAAAAGACAACAAAUACAACCAACAUCACAAAAAAGACAAACAAUCUUGUUCAUGUUGAGAACACUUAUUGUCAUGUUAUCAUUUUCUGGCGAUGUGCUCCUGGCCGUAAUCGUAAUCGUCCUGUUAUCAUCGCACGUAAAUGUAUCGGUUAAUGCAUAUUUUCGAAAUUGUGGGUUAUGUUUACCAGAAAAGAUAAUGUCAUGCUCUCAGUGCCACAAAGUUCAUUAAUUUCGAGUGUUUUUCAAUUUUGUGUGGUAGCACUGAGGCAUUUUAUAUUCAUUUUAUUGUCCGGCGUUCGUAGCUUUCUUGGUGAAUGUCGUCAGCACCGACCCGCAUUCUUCUGUGUGUUUUCGUGGUGUGCACAUCUACCUUCGUGUUGUUGAGUGUUCGUAUGUCCGCAGCCAUUUUUGUUGAAACCAAGUUUUCAAGUAUUGUCAUUAUUCAUUAGUGAAUCGACCGUCUGUUAAAUUUUACCAGCGGUCGCUUAGUGAAUAACGUGGUUUUUAUUCAUUGUGUCAUCGUCCAGGGCUGUGGACCAUUGCAUUUUUUCCGUUGGUGUCUAUACUUGGGUGAUCGCUCGUACCAAUUCUGUGAUUUAUUUUCAUUUAUACACUGCGGUGUGCCAUCGUAGGCAAUUGUCUAGUUACAGGGUUGGUGUGGUCGCGUGGAUGCGAUCAGCCAUUCAACAUAGUCACAUCUGUUAAGGCACCGUUAUAUUUUUUAUAUUAUAAGAGCUGACAGUGUCGACAAAUCUAUCAAAUACCUAAACAAAUUACAAAAGCCAAGAACAUAAACAGACCUGUAAAAAAUAGUAUCAACGAUUCUCUAAUUAAAUGCCAAAAGAGUAGAUCAGCAAUUCAAUACUACAUACAAACAACUAAACAAAAAAAUAUAUAGAACUACUACGAAUAAAAAAAAGACAACAAAUAUAUCCAACAACAUAAUGAAUACUAAGUAUGAAACAAAUACCUAAAUAAAUCACAAAAUAAUGUCUAAGAACAAAAUACAGAUCUUUAUCAAGAGCUCAGAAUGAUUCAUUAAUUUAAAGCCAAAAGAGUUGAUCAGCAGUUCAACACUACCUACAAAAGACCAACAAAAAAAAUUAUACAAAUACAACGAUUAAAAAAAAGAAAACAAAUGUAUCAAACACAACAAUAAAUAGAAAGUAACAAACAAUUAUCUAAACAAAUCACAAAUGCCAAGAACAAAAAUAGACUUGUACGAAAUAGUAUAAACGAUUCCCUAAUAAAACGCCAAAAGAUUUGAUCAGCUGUCCAACCUACCUACAAACAACCAAACAAGAGCUCGGGACCCCGGGUUCGCUUAGACCCGUAAACACGUAAGAAUGUGUUCCAUUGGGAGACAAAAAGUACCUAAACGAAUCACAAAACCGAAGAACAAAAACAGAACUGUAACAAUGAGUAAAAAGAUUCCCUAAUUAAACGACCAAAGUUAUGAUCAGCUGUUCAACACUACCUACAAAAAACCAACAACAAAAAAUAGACAAAUUAUCAAUCAAAUACUUAAACAAAUCAAAAAACCUAAUAACAAGAACACAUCUGUAACAAAGAGUAAAAAUGUUCCAUAAUUAAACACCAACAGAUUUGAUCAGCUGUCCAACAAUACCUACAAAACACCAAACAAGAGCUUGGGACCCCGGGUUCGCUAAGACCCGUAAACACGUAAGAACGUAUUCCCCUGGGGGACAACAAAAACUUAAACAAAUCACAAAAGCCGAGGAACAAGACAGAACUG